rnacentral:lncRNA from 1 species
ACCCAAUUUUCUGCCGUAUGUUUCUGUCUCUGUGGAGGUUAUUUCCGUUAUUUUUUUUAUUUCCGUUUUUUCCAUUAUUUCAAUUAUUUCCGUUGUUGUUCUAGACCUGUCAUUUAAUUUUCUGCCGUCUUUUUCUUUCACUGUGGAGGUUAUUUCUGUUAUUUCCUUUAUUAUUUCCGUUAUUUUUGUUAUUUUGGUUAUUUCCGUUAUUUCUGUUGUUGUUCUUGACCUGUCACUUAAUAUUCUGCCGUAUGUUUCUGUCUCUCUUGAGGUUCUUUGCGUUCUUUGCGUUCUUUGCGUUUUUUGCGUUCUUUGCGUUCUUUGCGUUCUUUGCGUUCUUUCCGUUCUUUCCGUUCUUUCCGUUCUUUCCGUUGUUGUUCUUGCC